UUACCUUUCUGUGUAUAUUAAAAGACACCACCACCACAGAAGUUGACUAGCACAGGGUAAAAGAAGAUGUGGUCUUUGCCAAACAGGACAGAAACCUGCAAUGAGAGAUAACAAAACUUUAAAAUGUAUGUUGAGCUAAUGAACAGAAGUGAUAACAUAGAAGAUUAAAGCAGGAAUUUGUGGAGAACAAACUUGAGGAAUUCUUCCAGAACACAGAGGAAAAUAGAAAAGAAGUCAUGUGGGAGAAUAUGAUGGCUGUGGAGAACAGAAAUUUGAGACAUGACCUAGAAACAAUUGACUCUGAAGCAGAGAACAGAACAAAUGGGGCAGAAUACUUCACUAUGAAGUGAAAGAAUAUCUUCUGACUGCCAGAAAGAGAGACCUCUAUGUUGAUCAAAACAAUUUGCUCCUCCUAUACCAAAUCAAUGAUAAGAGAUUCACUAGUAGGCGCACCCCAGCAAAAUUUUCAAAGCAUCCAGGAUGAGGAGGUAUGCUGAAAAACUAGACUGGAUAUACACAUCACCUUUGUAGUGUGAAACACUUAGACAAAAGCAUGAUAGUUUGUCAAUGAUAUUAUUAUCUAUCCAGAAAAUUAAAUGCUGUUAAUACAGAAGUUGUAGAAAAGAUUUUCCAGAAUUUAUAACUGAGUUUAGCACCAUGAUCAUCUUUUAAGCUACUUUGCAAAAAUAACAGUUUCUUAUUUUCCAGCAGUAAGCAGUGUACUGGAGUGCUUGCCUGUCCUGGAGUGGGGGCUAGGAGGCUGUGUGACACUUUUCAGUCUCGCGGGACUAUAGAACAAGGCGUGGAUUCCAGAACCACCGAAAGGAAGUCUGAUGAAUGCACCUCCCUUUAGGUUGAGACCUCAAAGGGGUGUCUGUACCCUAGGAGUAAGGUUGAAUUAGGCAUAAAUAGGCUUUCAGGGGGAUUGCAACUGAGCUUAAGUAUUCAGUUUCUGAAAUUGGGUCAGGGUGAUCCCAUGUUACUAGCGCUUCCAGGCACAAGGCAAAAGGAAACUCAUUCUAAGAAAAGAGAUAACUAAAGGUUUAAGUCACUAAAAAGAUGUAACAGUGCUAAAUAUGUAUGCCUCUAAUUUUAUAAAAUAUUUUUAGUGGAAUAAUAACAAAAAUACUAUAUGUACAUCCAAUGUUGUACAAUGCAGAUCACUGUGCCUAGAGAAAAUAUUUAUCCAAAUAAAUUAAAAUAACAUAUAAUGCA